ensembl:misc_RNA RN7SL209P RNA, 7SL, cytoplasmic 209, pseudogene
UCCAGGAGGAAGUGGGGACUGUUAGCAGCAUAGGAUUGAGGAGAUGGAAGAGACCUUUAGAACAGCUGGUCCUUAUGCCGACCGGGUGCCCGCACUAAGUUCAGCAUCAAUAUGGUGACCUCCUGGGAGCAGGGGGCCACCAAGUUGCCUAAGGAUGGCUGAACUGGCCCAGGUCAGAAAGGGAGCAGGUCAGAACUCCCGCACUGACCGUAGUGGGAUUAUGCCUGAUCUUGGUUCUUAAAAGUAAAAAUAAAGAACAGCAGCUCAUUUCUCUCU